UGCCAAUCUUAACAGGACAAGAGGCCC
rnacentral:piRNA from 1 species